GAAGGAAUUUUUUGUGGUGCUGCAGGGAAUUUUCCACCAGCAAUGCAUGUCCUGCAACCGCUGCAGCCGGCGCCUGCGCCGCGGCGAUCGCUUCGUGCUGCGCCGCGGCCGCCUGCUCUGCCACGCUCAUGCUGCUCGGAGCUGGGAGGAGGAACCCGAUGGAAAAAAUCCCGAUG